rnacentral:rRNA from 1 species
AACGAACGCUGGCGGCAUGCCUAACACAUGCAAGUCGAACGAGACAUUCGGGUCUAGUCGCGCACGGGUGCGUAACGCGUGGGGACCUGCCCUUAGGUUCGGAAUAACUCAGAGAAAUUUGAGCUAAUACCGGCUAAUAUCUUCGGACCAAAGAUUUAUCGCCUUUGGAUGGGCCCGCGUAGGAUUAGCUUGUUGGUGGGGUAAUGCCCUACCAAGGCGACGAUCCUUAGCUGGUCAGAGAGGAUGAUCAGCCACACUGGGACUGAGACACGGCCCAGACUCCUACGGGAGGCAGCAGUGGGGAAUAUUGGACAAUGGGCGAAAGCAUGAUCCAGCAAGGCCGCGUGAGUGAUGAAGGCCUUAGGGUUGUAAAGCUCUUUUACCAGGGAUGAUAAUGACAGUACCUGGAGAAUAAGCUCCGGCUAACUCCGUG